rnacentral:rRNA from 1 species
GACGAACGCUGGCGGCGUGCUUAACACAUGCAAGUCGAACGGUGAAGCCCAUCUUGCUGGGUGGAUUAGUGGCGAACGGGUGAGUAACACGUGAGUAACCUGCCCUUGACUCUGGGAUAAGCCUGGGAAACUGGGGCUAAUACUGGAUAUGACUUCUCGUCGCAUGGUGGGGGGUGGAAAGUUUUGGUGGUCUUGGAUGGACUCGCGGCCUAUCAGCUUGUUGGUGGGGUAAUGGCUCACCAAGGCGAUGACGGGUAGCCGGCCUGAGAGGGUGACCGGCCACACUGGGACUGAGACACGGCCCAGACUCCUACGGGAGGCAGCAGUGGGGAAUAUUGCACAAUGGGCGCAAGCCUGAUGCAGCGACGCCGCGUGAGGGAUGACGGCCUUCGGGUUGUAAACCUCUUUCAGUAGGGAAGAAGCGAGAGUGACGGUACCUGCAGAAGAAGCGCCGGCUAACUACGUG